rnacentral:rRNA from 2 species
GUGGACGAACCUCUGGUGUACCGGUUGUCACGCCAGUGGCAUCGCCGGGUAGCUAUGUUCGGAAGAGAUAACCGCUGAAAGCAUCUAAGCGGGAAACUCGCCUUAAGAUGAGAUAUCCCUGGGGACUGGAUCCCCUUGAAGGGUCGUUCGAGACCAGGACGUUGAUAGGUCAGGUGUGUAAGCGCAGUAAUGCGUUCAGCUAACUGAUACUAAUUGCCCGUAAGGCUUGAUCCUAUAACA